rnacentral:rRNA from 1 species
UACGGAGGGUGCAAGCGUUAAUCGGAAUUACUGGGCGUAAAGCGUGCGCAGGCGGUUUGUUAAGUCCGUUGUGAAAGCCCUGGGCUCAACCUGGGAAUUGCAGUGGAUACUGGCGAGCUAGAGUGCGGUAGAGGAUGGUGGAAUUCCCGGUGUAGCGGUGAAAUGCGUAGAGAUCGGGAGGAACACCCGUGGCGAAGGCGGCCAUCUGGACCAGCACUGACGCUGAGGCACGAAAGCGUGGGGAGCAAACAGG